GACGAACGCUGGCGGCGUGCUUAACACAUGCAAGUCGAACGGUAAGGCCCUUCGGGGUACACGAGUGGCGAACGGGUGAGUAACACGUGGGUGAUCUGCCCUGCACUUCGGGAUAAGCCUGGGAAACUGGGUCUAAUACCGGAUAGGACUCCGGACUGCAUGGUCUGGGGUGGAAAGCUUUUGCGGUGUGGGAUGGGCCCGCGGCCUAUCAGCUUGUUGGUGGGGUGAUGGCCUACCAAGGCGACGACGGGUAGCCGGCCCGGGAGGGUGACCGGCCAAACGGGGACUGAGGUACGGCCCAGACUCGUACGGGAGGCAGCAGUGGGGAAUAUUGGACAAGGGGAGCAAGCCUGAUGCAGCGACGCCGCGUGAGGGAUGACGGCCUUCGGGUUGUAAACCUCUUUCAGCAUCGACGAAGCGAAAGUGACGGUAGGUGCAGAAGAAGGACCGGCCAACUACGUGCCAGCAGCCGCCGUAA
rnacentral:rRNA from 1 species